rnacentral:rRNA from 1 species
GAGGGGGCCCGCACAAGCGGAGGAACAUGUGGUUAAUUCGAUGAUACGCGAGGAACCUUACCUGGGCUUAAAUGCAGAGUGCAUGGAGUGGAAACACUUCUUCCCUUCGGGGCUCUUUGCAAGGUGCUGCAUGGUUGUCGUCAGCUCGUGCCGUGAGGUGUCGGGUUAAGUCCCAUAACGAGCGCAACCCUUAUCGUUAGUUGCCAGCGGGUAAAGCCGGGAACUCUAGCGAAACUGCCGGUGUAAACCGAGAGGAAGGUGGGAUGACGUCAAAUCAGCACGGCCCUUAUGUCCAGGGCUACACACGUGUUACAAUGGCCGGUACAGAGGGCAGCUACCUGGAGACAGGAUGCGAAUCUCGAAAGCCGGUCUCAGUUCGGAUCGGAGUCUGCAACUCGACUCCGUGAAGCUGGAUUCGCUAGUAAUCGCGCAUCAGCCAUGGCGCGGUGAAUACGUUCCCGGGCCUU